AUUGAACGCUGGCGGCAGGCUUAACACAUGCAAGUCGAGCGAGCGGCGGACGGGUGAGUAAUGUCUGGGAAACUGCCUGAUGGAGGGGGAUAACUACUGGAAACGGUAGCUAAUACCGCAUACCAUCAGAUGUGCCCAGAUGGGAUUAGCUAGUAGGUGGGGUAAUGGCUCACCUAGGCGACGAUCCCUAGCUGGUCUGAGAGGAUGACCGGCCAAAAGGGAGCUGAGACACGGUCCAGACUCCGACGGGAGGGAGCAGUUGGGAAUAUUGCACAAUGGGCGGAAGCCUGAGGCAGCCAGGCCGCGUGUGUGAAGAAGGCCUUCGGGUUGUAAAGCACUUUCAGCGAGGAGGCGUUACUCGAAGAAGAAGCACCGGCUAACUCCGUGCCAGCAGCCGCGGUAAUAC
rnacentral:rRNA from 1 species